GGCAAAGGUCUCUGUAGUUGUACAAGGCCAGAAAGGAAAAGCAGUUAUUUACUUAGUCAUUUGCCAAUAUGAAAAGGGACCAGAGGUUACGAGAGGAGGAUGUAGCUAAGAAUUAAAAGUCAACAACUUUGAAUUAAAGUUAUCAUAGUGCAUGUCAGAGAAAUUCUUUGCCAAGCUUAAGUGUGGUUUUUGUCAACAUACCAGCAGAGGUGCUGAAAAUAGCAGCUACAAGGUUAUCCGGGGAAAACAAAGGAAUUGAACAAGUUCAAAGUAUGUGUGCCAGUUAGGAGUCCUGAAGACGAUGAAGCUUUUAUCCCUUAUCUCAGACCACUUGUUGCUCUGUGUCUUCCUGAGUCUACUCUGGGGCACAACUGACUCCAAUACAACAAUCACAUCAACAGUGACGACGACAGUGACAGCAGGACAGAAAAGUACAGCAAAAACAGAAACAAGCACAAGACUAAGAACCAAUCUGCUGACAGAUAAUGUUGACAGAGUGGAUGUGACCACACAAAAUGAGAACAGUAUAACUCUGACCUGGAACAAGGUUAACAACAUCCCAACAUACAUCCUGCAAUAUGGUAAUAUAAGAGAAGAUAUUUAUAAACCUGAAGAAGGACCCAUAGUACAUGUGGUCACUUCUCUGACUGCUGGGACAAACUACACAUUCACUCUCUUCACCAUGUCUGAGGGACUCAACAGCAGUGGAUACAGAUUCAGUGCUGUGACAGCUCCUCGUAAUGCUGACGACUUUAAGAAAAAUGGACAAGAUGAGACCAGCAUAACUCUGGAGUGGAAAACAGUCCCCAACAUCGACAAAUACAUUCUUGCAUUUAAUGAAAGAGAGAUCAAUAUUAGUAAUUCUGAAAACGAAUACAGAGUGUUAAAUUUGACCAGUGGAACCAGAUACACUUUCACUCUCUUCACUGUGUUUGGAAAUGUCAGAAGCAGUGGAGUAAACUGCAUCACAGUCACUGCUCCUCGUAAUGCUGACGACUUUAAGAAAAAUGGACAAGAUGAGACCAGCAUAAAUCUGGGGUGGAAAACAGUCCCCAACAUCGACAAUUAUAUUCUUGCGUUUAAUGGGAGCAAGAUCAAUAUUAGUAAUUCUGAAAAAGAAUACAGUGUUAAAUUUGACCAGUGGAACCAGAUACAAUUUCACUCUCUUCACUGUGUUUGAUAAUGUCAGAAGCAGUGGAGUAAACUGCAUCGCAGUUACUGGUGAGAUGUAAUUUCUCUAACAUAGAUAGAUAAACCAGGAUGGACCGGCUCAUUAGUACUUGAAACUUUAGCUGAUGGAGAGUUGUUGUUUUUUUUUGUGUGUUUUUUUUGUUUGUUUGUUUAUCAAAACCGCUUUCCUCUGUUAUCUUUAGCUCCACAAAGUGUUAAUAAUGUGACUGUGGUGCAUCAAAAUGAGAUGAGUAUACCACUGGAGUGGAACAAGGUUAAAAACAUCCCAGAAUACAUCCUACAGAAUAAUAACAUAAACAUUUGUCAAAUUUUCCAAUUUGAAUAUGUCAAAUACUAACCCGACCUAUAAUCCUAGACUGCUUACUGCUAACCUGGUGGAGGUUAACAGAUUAAAAACAUCUAAAACAGUCAUAGUCCUUUAAAAUGUUCCACAGUUGAUGCUCCUCUACAACAUGAACAAGAGCAGAGCUCUAUAAUGAUGUUUAAGGUUUCUCAGAAACAGAAGAGUGUAGCUCACCUAAUGUUUUUCAAAAGGACUGAUAAAAAUACUGAAACUGAAGCCUCGCUCCAUGUUUCUGUUUCUGACAGAAAAUGUUGUUACAGUUUCUUCUUUGUACGUUUUUCUAUUCUAGCUCCUCGUAAUGCUGACGACUUUAAGAAAAAUGGACAAAAUGAGACCAGCAUAACUCUGGGGUGGAAAACAGUCCCUAACAUCGACAAUUAUAUUCUUGCGUUUAAUGGGAGCAAGAUCAAUAUUAGUAAUUCUGAAAAAGAAUACAGUGUUAAAUUUGACCAGUGGAACCAGAUACAAUUUCACUCUCUUCACUGUGUUUGAUAAUGUCAGAAGCAGUGGAGUAAACUGCAUCGCAGUUACUGGUGAGAUGUAAUUUCUCUAACAUAGAUAGAUAAACCAGGAUGGACCGGCUCAUUAGUACUUGAAACUUUAGCUGAUGGAGAGUUGUUGUUUUUUUUUGUGUGUUUUUUUUGUUUGUUUGUUUAUCAAAACCGCUUUCCUCUGUUAUCUUUAGCUCCACAAAGUGUUAAUAAUGUGACUGUGGUGCAUCAAAAUGAGAUGAGUAUACCACUGGAGUGGGACAAGGUUAAAAACAUCCCAGAAUACAUCCUACAGAAUAAUAACAUAAACAUUUGUUCAAUUUUCCAAUUUGAAUAUGUCAAAUACUAACCCGACCUAUAAUCCUAGACUGCUUACUGCUAACCUGGUGGAGGUUAACAGAUUAAAAACAGCUAAAACAGUCAUAGUCCUUUAAAAUGUUCCACAGUUGAUGCUCCUCUACAACAUGAACAAGAGCAGAGCUCUAUAAUGAUGUUUAAGGUUUCUCAGAAACAGAAGAGUGUAGCUCACCUAAUAUUUUUCAAAAGGACUGAUAAAAAUACUGAAACUGAAGCCUCGCUCCAUGUUUCUGUUUCUGACAGAAAAUGUUGUUACAGUUUCUUGUUUGUACGUUUUUCUAUUCUAGCUCCUCGUAAUGCUGACGAAUUUAAGAAAAAUGGACAAGAUGAGACCAGCAUAACUCUGGGGUGGAAAAUAGUCCCCAACAUCGACAAUUAUAUUCUUGUGUUUAAUGAAAGAGAGAUCAGCAUUAGUAAUUCUGAAAAAGAAUACAGAGUGUCAGACUUGACCAGUGGAACCAGAUACAAUUUCACUCUCUUCACUGUGUUUGGAAAUGUCAGAAGCAGUGGAGUAAACUGCAUCGCAGUCACUGAUGGUGAGGGGCUAUGACACCAACAGAGUAAAUUCGCAGACUUCGCCCUCAGCACGGCUCCAAUCGAAGCUGAAGUGUAGCCGUUUCAGAACAUUUUGCUCUACAUAUUUGAGUUGUUUGCCAUGCUUGGAUAUGCUUGUGAAGAUGGAAUAUGGGGGAGAGCAGAAGUGCGUUGAAGUUCCACAAAGGGAUGAAUGAAGGACAUGCAUAUUGUAUUGAAGAAAUAAGUGAUGAGAAUGCUGUUAUUUGCAUUUACCAUGUCAGACCUUUUGAUAAACAAAAUUCUAAUAAAAGUGAGAACAUGUAUACUGUUACAUCUUUCAGAAAAUGUUUUGAAAUUGUGGUGCACAGUUCAGAAU
ensembl:lncRNA